CAACUCUUGCUGUCUUUGCACGAGCUGUCUCGUCACAACACUUGCAGACCCUGUAACUACACAAGAGAGUCAUCUGUUGCAGUCUUCGCAGAAGCUGUGUCAUCACAGAAGCCGGACCCUGUAACUACACAAGAGAGUCAUCUGUUGCAGUCUUCGCAGAAGCUGUGUCAUCACAGAAGCCGGAUCCUGUAACUACACAAGAGAGUCAUCUGUUGCAGUCUUCGCAGAAGCUGUGUCAUCACAGAAGCUGGAUCCUGUAACUACACAAGAGAGUCAUCUGUUGCAGUCUUCGCAGAAGCUGUGUCAUCACAGAAGCCGGUUCAGCAUCGAG